rnacentral:rRNA from 1 species
GAUGAACGCUAGCUACAGGCUUAACACAUGCAAGUCGAGGGGCAGCAUGAAAGGAACUUCGGUUCUUUUUGAUGGCGACCGGCGCACGGGUGCGUAACGCGUAUCGAACCUGCCUCAUACUCGGGGAUAGCCUUGCGAAAGUAAGAUUAAUACCCGGCGGUCUCGGAUGGCCGCAUGACUAUCCGAGUGAAGAUUUAUCGGUAUGAGAUGGCGAUGCGUCCCAUUAGCUAGUUGGUGAGGUAACGGCUCACCAAGGCAUCGAUGGGUAGGGGUUCUGAGAGGAAGGUCCCCCACAUUGGAACUGAGACACGGUCCAAACUCCUACGGGAGGCAGCAGUGAGGAAUAUUGGUCAAUGGGCGAGAGCCUGAACCAGCCAAGUAGCGUGAAGGAUGACUGCCCUAUGGGUUGUAAACUUCUUUUAUAAAGGAAUAAAGUCGGGUAUGCAUACCCGUUUGCAUGUACUUUAUGAAUAAGGAUCGGCUAACUCCGUGCCAGCAGCCGCGGUAAUACGGAGGAUCCGAGCGUUAUCCGGAUUUAUUGGGUUUAAAGGGAGCGUAGAUGGAUGUUUAAGUCAGUUGUGAAAGUUUGCGGCUCAACCGUAAAAUUGCAGUUGAUACUGGAUAUCUUGAGUGCAGUUGAGGCAGGCGGAAUUCGUGGUGUAGCGGUGAAAUGCUUAGAUAUCACGAAGAACUCCGAUUGCGAAGGCAGCCUGCUAAGCUGCAACUGACAUUGAGGCUCGAAAGUGUGGGUAUCAAACAGG